UAUUUCUUCGGAAUAUAGAGGGAGGACUAGGAGGUGCAGAGACUCGACAAACGGAGAGAUGAGGCGUGGCUACCGCUGCAGCAGCGGUGUGCUGGUUUGGCUGGUGCUCGUGCACACAUGCUUCGAAGCACCUCGGGUUCAGGCUCAGCAAGCAGCAAGAACUGCUCCGAUCGAAGCGGCGGCGCUCAACACAAUCCUGGGGAGAUGGGGAUGGAAGGCGACGCGGUCGCCGGCGUGGAACAUCAGCGGCGAGCCCUGCAGCGGCGCCGCCGUCGACGACGGCGUGGGGCUCGACGGCAACAGCGAGUUCAACCCGGGCAUCAAGUGCGACUGUUCCUUCAACAGCAACACCGUCUGCCACAUCACCAUGCUGAAGGUAUACGCAUUGAAUGUUGUCGGUCAGAUACCUUCAGAACUGCAGAACCUCACCUACCUAACUUACCUGAACCUGGAUCAAAAUUACUUGAUGGGUCCAAUUCCAUCAUUCAUUGGGCAAUUUUCUGGAAUGCAACACUUGAGCCUGGGAUUCAAUCCAUUCUCUGGGCCACUUCCAAAGGAACUUGGGAAUCUCACGAAUCUCAAUUUGCUAGGUAUCAGUUUGGACAAUUUUAGCGGUGGACUUCUUGAAGAUCUGGGCAAUCUGUCCAAACUUGAGCAAUUGUACAUUGAUAGUAGUGGCUUUAGUGGUCCCUUCCCUUCAACGUUCUCAAAACUUAAGAAGCUGAAGAUUCUGUACGGUCGACAAUGGUGCCAUAAUUUAUUGUGCUUCAGUGGCUUCUGUAUUUUCAAUGUUAAAUAUUUUGUUGUGCUUGCAGGCGAGCAUCGGAUAAUGAUUUCACAGGGAAAAUACCUGAUUAUUUUGGGAGUUUGACAAAUUUGGAAGAUCUGUAAGAAUAGUUAUUAACUAGGCGUAUAGCCCGCGCAUUUGCGCGGCUAGUACUGAAAAUUCAGAAAUUUGAAUGUCGUUGUAUCCUUACGUAAAUAUUACUCCCUCCGUCACAAAAUAAAUGCAAUUCUAGGACCAAACACACAAACCAAUGGUAGAUGUAAAUUUACCAAAAUACUCUUUGUCUUUUGUGAUGAGUGAAUGAGGUGUUAGUUGUCUUUUGUGAGAAUCUUUCGGAAACUGACUUGUUUUUGUGGUAGGUGGGUCAAAGUUAACAUUUUUUGUGGGACAAAUUUUGAACUCUAGAAUUGUAUUUAUUUUGGGACGGAGGGAGUAUACUAUUUUUUACCAUACAUCACUCUAUUCAUUAUUGUAAAUUAUGUCUUAUUAUUGGUUAAAACAAUUCAAAUAUGAUCUACCUAUAAUGAUAAUUUGAUUUGUUGAGCUUUAAUAAUAUUAUGCAUAUAAUUAUUCUUAUUUUCGUUUUAUAUUGAUUGAUUGUUGUUAGCUUUAGUUUUUAUUAAUAGUAUAUGUUUGUAACUGAUACAUAGCUAAAUGAUAUUUUAUAUUUAAUUUUUCAUAAUGGCAUUGGUGGGUGAUUUUUAAUUAGGCACAUGGAUAUUUUAGGCUAAUUUUUAUCAUAAUGGCAGUGGUGGGUAAUUUUUAUUUUUGUAUUUUUCUCCGAUUAAUGUGGGAAUUUCUAGACCUUGAGAGCGAACGUGGAAACUCCAUUUGUUGGCCAAAUAAUAAGAUAAUAGAUUAGACAACACGUCAUGUAUUAUUCAGGAGAUAACUGGAAAUUAUGCAGCAGAACUUUUCUACAUAUGUCCUUCGCAUUUGAAUUAGGAGUUUAGGUCGCAUGUCCAUGUCAUUAAACUGAUCCGCACAACAUAUGGAUACAAUAUAGUUUGCUUUUUCUAUAUUCAAAGAUGGAUUUGGUAUGGUAUUACUUCUUUUCUGAAAGCAUGAACUUGUAGGGUACUCCACGGAAAUUAUUUUGAGGGCCCGAUUCCAGCAAGUUUGUCUAAUCUAACCAGGUUGACAAACUUAAUUGUUGGUGAUAUUGUAAACGGAAGCUCUUCGUUGGCCUUCAUCAGUAGUCUGACAUCUUUGAGUACCCUGAUAUUGAGGAACUGCAAAUUAUCUGGUAAUCUUGGAGCAGUUAAUAUUUCUAAGCUUGCAAAUUUAAUCUUGCUGGACUUGAGUUUUAAUAAUAUCACAGGUCAAGUUCCUCCAUCAAUCCUUACUCUGGACAAACUGGAAUUCCUGUUUCUUGGGAACAAUAGCCUUACAGGAAGCCUGCCUGAUGUGAAAAGUGUUUUAUUAAAAAAUUUAGAUUUUUCAUAUAACCGGCUCAAUGGAAGGUUUCCUUCUUGGACUACUGAGAGCGAUUUGCAUCUGAAUUUGGUGGCAAACAACUUCGUUCUUGAUAGCACCAACGACAGUAUUCUACCUUCAGGACUAAACUGCCUCCAGCAGGACACUCCUUGUUUCCUUGGUUCACCACAAUAUUAUUCCUUCGCGGUAGACUGCGGCAGUAAUAGGUCUAUGACAGGAUCAGAUAAUACUAUGUACGAUGUAGAUCCUACAGACCUUGGGGCUUCAUCAUAUUAUGUUACCGGUCAAACAAGAUGGGGUGUCAGCAAUGUAGGAAAAUUCAACCAGGCCCCAAAUGGAAGUAACAUAAUAUAUAGCUCCAGCGAGCAGUUUCAGAAUGCAGCAGAUUCAGAACUGUUCCAAACAGCAAGGAUGUCAGCAUCGUCACUGAGAUACUACGGCCUUGGACUUGAGAAUGGAAAUUACACUGUUAUGCUUCAAUUUGCAGAGACUGCUUAUCCGGACACACAGACUUGGCAAAGCCUAGGAAGGAGAGUCUUUGACAUAUAUGUCCAGGGUUCUCUUAGAGAAAAGAACUUCAAUAUAAGGAAGACAGCUGGUGGAAAAUCUUUUACUGCAGUUAGCAAGAGAGCAACUGUGUCAAAAAACUUCCUUGAGAUCCAUCUCUUCUGGGCUGGCAAGGGCACUUGCUGCAUCCCUAGACAAGGUUACUAUGGGCCGAUGAUCUCAGCAUUAAGCGUUACUCCAGAUUUUACUCCAACUGUGCGAAAUGGUGUACUGAAAAAGAAAAGCAAAGCUGGAGCAAUUACUGGAAUAGUGAUCGGUGCAGCAGUUUUAGGAUUAGCAGCCUUAUUUGGAAUAUUUGUGUUCACUAAAAGGAGAAGAAGGCUAGCAAGACAGCAACAAGCAUGUGUCCUCGAAAAAUGUAGAACUGUACGACCUGAUUGGACAACCUGAUGUCUUCAGUUAUGCUGAACUCAAGUUAGCUACAGAUAAUUUCAGCCCUCAGAACAUUCUUGGAGAAGGCGGAUACGGGCCAGUCUAUAAGGGUACACUAACUGAUGGAAGAGCAAUAGCCGUGAAACAACUCUCUGAAUCAUCUCAUCAGGGGAAAAGACAGUUCGUGGCAGAGGUUGCAACCAUUUCUGCUGUCCAACACAGGAAUCUUGUCAAACUGCAUGGAUGCUGCAUUGACAGUAACACACAUUUGUUGGUCUAUGAGUACCUUGAAAAUGGAAGCCUUGAUCGAGCUCUCUUUGGAAAAAAUAGUAGGUUGUUGCUAGACUGGUCAACACGCUUUGAGAUCAUUUUAGGCGUUGCUAGAGGCCUAGCUUAUCUUCAUGAGGAGUCCAGCAUCCGCAUCGUGCACAGGGACAUCAAGGCCAGCAAUGUGCUCCUUGACGCCGAUCUCACCCCCAAGGUCUCCGACUUCGGACUAGCCAAGCUCUACGACGAGAACAAGUCGCAUGUCAGCACGACGAGAAUCGCCGGCACAUUUGGCUAUCUGGCUCCUGAGUAUGCAAUGAGAGGCCAGCUGACUGAAAAGGCCGACGUCUUCGCAUUCGGGGUGGUCGCCCUGGAGGCUGUUUCUGGCCAACCCAACACCAGUAACUCCCUCGAGGAAAGUGACAUCUAUAUCUUGGAGCGGGCCUGGGACCUGUACGAAGAGGAGCAACCACUGCGAAUCCUGGACCCAAGGCUGGAGAAGUUCGACGCCGGGGAAGCUCUGAGAGUCAUCCGUGUCGCGCUCAUGUGCACGCAGGGCUCGCCGCACCGGCGGCCGCCGAUGUCGAGGGUGGUGGCGAUGCUUACCGGGAAAGCCGAGGUGGCUGAGGAGAUGGCGAAGCCAAGCUACGCCGUCAUCACUGAAUCGCAGCUCAGGGGCGGGGACAGUAGCUGCAGCACGAGCAGCUACUGGGGCUGGUCGACCACCCCUGAGUUCAGCAGGCAGAAAGAGGUCGACCCUCUCACCCAGUUGCUGACGAUUACCGGAGCAAGCCACGAGAUCGAGGGAAGGUGAAAACAAAGAUGAUCGCUGCUGAAGGUGGUUGGUUUGAUGAGGUGAACGUUUCAGACGCUGUUAAAUAUGAGUUGGAAAAACACCUCGUUCUGAAUUAUUGUACUGUCAGGUGGAAAAAGUAUCACUCCUUGUAUAACGAAUAUAAAUGGGUUUACAUGUUGUAUGAAAAUGACCCUAGUUUGGAACUUUAGAUUGUAGUUUUUGUAAUUAAUGAUAACGGUCAAUGUACCUAGUGCUAUCUUACUAUUACUAA